GACGAACGCUGGCGGCGUGCCUGACACAUGCAAGUCGUACGGUCCGUGAUUGAUCAAGCUUGCUUGAUUGGUCGUGGAUAGUGGCGGACGGGUGAGUAACGCGUGAACACCUACCCAUUGGAGGGGUACAACCCGUCGAAAGGCGGGCUAAUACCGCGUAAGCCGCGAGGUGAAAGGCUGCCUUUUGGUGGCUGCCGAUGGAUGGGUUCGCGUCCUAUCAGCUUGUUGGUGGGGUAAUGGCCUACCAAGGCGAAGACGGGUAGCCGGUCUGAGAGGAUGGCCGGCCACACUGGAACUGAGACACGGUCCAGACUCCUACGGGAGGCAGCAGUGGGGAAUCUUGGGCAAUGGGGGGGACCCUGACCCAGCGACGCCGCGUGAGGGACGAAGGUUUUCGGAUCGUAAACCUCUGUUGUACGGGAAGAAGGAUGUGACGGUACCGUACGAGUAAGCCCCGGCAAACUACGUG
rnacentral:rRNA from 1 species